GAAAUAGCUCAGUUGGUAGAGUAUGAGGCUCUUAAUCUCAGGGUUUGAGCCCCACUUUGGAGACA